rnacentral:ncRNA from 1 species
AUACAUGCGUUGAUAAAGAAGAGUACAUAUUGACUUAAUUUCAGAGAGCUUGUGGUUGGUGCAAACAAGUAAUUGAACAAUAUGGAAUGGGCUUUUGAGCACCAAACCGAAACAAAAUCGGAGUAGGCUUUGGCGUUUAUCCAGACGUUACAAUGGAUAAAGAGAUUUUGCCUUAGCAAAAUAAUUAGGGUGGCACCGCGGUCCAUUCGUCCCUACC